UACGUAGGGUGCGAGCGUUAAUCGGAAUUACUGGGCGUAAAGCGUGCGCAGGCGGUUUUGUAAGCCCGAUGUGAAAUCCCCGGGCUUAACCUGGGAAUGGCAUUUGGGACUGCAAGGCUUGAGUUUGGCAGAGGAGACUGGAAUUCCUGGUGUAGCAGUGAAAUGCGUAGAUAUCAGGAGGAAUACCGAUGGCGAAGGCAGGUCUCUGGGCUGAAACUGACGCUCAUGCACGAAAGCGUGGGGAGCAAACAGG
rnacentral:rRNA from 1 species